rnacentral:rRNA from 1 species
AGUGAACGCUGGCGGCAGGCCUAACACACGCAAGUCGAACGGCAGCACAGGAGAGCUUGCUCUCUGGGUGGCGAGUGGCGGACGGGUGAGGAAUACAUCGGAAUCUACCCUUUCGUGGGGGAUAACGUAGGGAAACUUACGCUAAUACCGCAUACGAUCUGAGGAUGAAAGCAGGGGACCGCAAGGCCUUGCGCGAUUGGAUGAGCCGAUGUCCGAUUAGCUAGUUGGCGAGGUAAAGGCCCACCAAGGCGACGAUCGGUAGCUGGUCUGAGAGGAUGAUCAGCCACACUGGAACUGAGACACGGUCCAGACUCCUACGGGAGGCAGCAGUGGGGAAUAUUGGACAAUGGGCGCAAGCCUGAUCCAGCUAUGCCGCGUGUGUGAAGAAGGCCUUCGGGUUGUAAAGCACUUUUGUUGGGAAAGAAGUCCUGUCGGCUAAUACCCGGCGGGGAUGACGGUACCCAAAGAAUAAGCACCGGCUAACUUCGUGCCAGCCGCCGCGGUAA